CUAUUUUGUAAACUACCCCUGUGUAGUUGGAGAAGAUUUAUUCUGCAAUUGUUGGAUAUAGUGUUUUAUAAAUAUUAAUGAUGUCAAGUUGGAUAAAAAUGUUGUUCAAACAGUCUUCUGUUUACUCAUUUUUUCCUGCUUGUUCUAUCAAUUACUGAGAGAGAUUUACCAGUCUCCUACUAGGAUUACAGAUUUUUCUAUUCAUCCUUUUAGUUCUGCCAACUUCUGCUUCAUCUAUUAUGAGGUUUUGUUUUUAGGUGUACACAUAUUUAGGACCGUUUUCCUAAUGAGAUCACUAUUUGAUUAUUAUGAGUGUCUUUAUUUUUGGUAAUAUUCAUUGACUAGGGGGUGUUUUUUCCAUAACAGUAAUGUUUUACUUUUCUAAUUGCAAUAGUAAUACUGUAUUUCUCAUCAAUGGUAUUUGCACAAGUAUUUUUCCAUCCUUUUACUUUAAACCUAUCUGAUCUUAUUUUUAAAGUACAUCCUUGCAAACAGCAUACGGUUGAGUCUUAUUUUCUUGAUCCAGGCUGAGACUGUAAGAAAUUCAUUUAAUAUCUGGUAUAUUCAAUUUUAAAAUAAACUUUUGGAAUAACUUUAGAUUUACAGAAAAGUUGCAAAAAUACAACAGGAGAAUCCUAAAUACUUCUUACUAGUUUUCUCUAUGUUAAUACUUUAUAUAAGCGUAGUACAUUUAUCAAAACUAAAAAAACAUUGUCACUUUACCAUUACAUAAAAUCCAGACAUUAUUUGGAUGUCACCAGUUUUUCCAUUAAUGUCAUUUUUCUGUUCCAAGAUCCAAUCCAGGAUUCCACGUGGCAUUUUUUAUUCCAUCUAUUAUUUCACCAUUUACUUUUAAUGCAAUUUUGUGUUUGCAAUUUUGCUUUUCUUCUUAAAGAUCACCCCUCCCAAAUUGUACAAACUUCUCGUUAGAUCUACCCUACUUUUGAUAGAUGUCUAAUUUUGUUUCUACCAUAAUAAUUUUUAAUGCCCUCCCUCCACCCAAACACAGAGAAAAAGACAGACAGAAUUGUGUGUGUGUGGUUUCUUUUGUUUUCUAAUUCUUGUUACAUAAACUAUUGUUAUUUUCUUUCACCUUUCUCCAGUGAUCUUUAGAGCAUAUAUAUUAUUUUAGAUUCCACUACUGGUUAUCAUUUACUUUUAAAAAAAUUUUAUAUUUGAAUCUAUAUUUUUUAAAUUAGCUAAGACCCAAAUAAACAGUUUAUUUGGACUACCCUUACGUAUGAU
rnacentral:lncRNA from 1 species